UGUUGAGGAAUGGAACAUGCUGUGAAAGCCGGAACUAGUGGGGAGGCUUCAGCAGAUCUAGGAGCCCAUUUAGCUAUCACACAUUCUCAAGAGGCUCUGGGCUCUGGUACUAUAAAGAUGGAGAAAACAGUGAGAAGUGAAAAUAAGGACGAGCCCCCAAAAGCCUGCAUACAGAGGGGUUGGACCCACCCCAACCUACAGAUUGUAGGCAGUCCAGGUGAAAAACAGAAGGCUCUUCCCUAAAAAAAAAAAAAAUGGAAUGAACAAUCUGGGAAAACCCACAGCUUCUAGUAUGGCUUCUACAACCCCAGAAUAAAGCCUCUCUUCAUUCCAGCCCUUAAGGGGCCUGAAUUCUAACACAUCUAUUCCCCCAAAACCAGAACUCACUCUAAAUUCCCACUCAGGGAGAGAUAUAUUGGGAGGAGGGACAGAAAAGAAACUCCAUUUACACAACAAAUCACUAUCCCAUCUGCGUAAACUGAAUAAUGCAUCCCUUUCCCAAAAUGUUACCUUAUAUGUGAAAAGGGACUCAGCAAAUAUGAUUAAAUCAAUGAUUUUGAGAUGGGAAAUUCCCCUGAAUUAUGUUGUAGGCCCAAGGUAAUCGUAAUCAUGAGGGUCCAUAUCACAGCGAGGCCAGGAAUGACAGGGUCAGAAAGAAGGCAUUGUGACAAUGACAGCACCAAGAGGACAGGUGACAUGACAUAGGGCUGCAAGCAGGAAUGCUGUGGGCCUGUAGAGGCUGGAAAGUCAAGGAAACAUACUUUUUUCCCCUGGAACCUCCAGAAGGAGCCAAGGCUUCCAACAACUUCAUUUUAGUUUUUGAACCCCACUUGGGAGAACACUGCUCUAAAUAAUUACUAAGUGGGAUAAUAAGUGUAACAAGUGGAAUAUUAAAGUGGAGGAAUGGUAGAGGCAUUGCAGAUGGCAGCACAGACAGUAUAAACCACAAACUGGAGAUCACUGGCCAAGCGGACCCAGUCCGAACUUCUCAACAUGAAAUUUCUGGAAUAAUGCUCACCUAAGAUUAACAGCAGUCGUUUCCGGAAGCCAACCAUCAACAGCCAGGACUACUGCCUGCUGAAGCUCCCGAAGCUCAUGAUACAGGGAGAGCAGAAGGCUGGAAACACAGCUGUGAUUAGCAAGCUGAUAGAUGAAGCAAGGCUGGAAGCAGGCGCUAUCUCCUGUGGUUAUCUUCCCAUUUAACACUUCAAAACACUUCUCCAGCACCUGUAGGUGAUGAGUGACAAUUAUCCUGAGUUUUUAAAACUUUUUGAAAAAUGAGCUAUUACUUUCUGUGGUUUUAUCUGCCAGAUCUCAGUUGAAACUCAGGAAGAAGCCAGAUAGUCAAAUGCUUCAAAAGGGUUUUUUUUUCAUGGUUCAAUAAUGGACAACUCAAGCCACACAAAUUGAGAAAAUUAACUAAAUUUAAUUAAGAUUAAUUAACUAAUUAACUAAAUUAAUGAACUCCAUAUAGAUGGAGUUCAAAAUUUUUAGAAAAAAACAUGUCUUAACUGCAUAUUUUAAUUCAUUUUACUUUAUGUGUUUCUCUACAACACAUUCAGUUCUCAAUGAGAUGUCUGUGUCUUAAUCUAGUAUGUUACUGCUUUUGAAUGAACAUGAAAUAUAAAAAUCAUGUAAGUUUGCCAGCUACAGUUCGUAAUUUAGAAGGACAAAUAGGUCAACCUGGUUAUAAACUCUUCCAAUAUAUAGCACUGUGUCUUUACUUUCUUUUUAUUUUCCUUAUCUUGCCUACCACAAUGCUUCGUAAAUUAUUCAUCAUUUUGAAUGAAACAAGGUGGCAUUCGAAAAACAGAAUUACAAGUAGGUGGAAGACAGCUGCUUCAUCUUCCCCAUCACCAAAUUGGCUGGUCCACCUGCAAAGACCCUGCCUUACCUAUGGCUUGAACGCAUGGCUGGCCUUGCAGCUACCUAAGGCGAGUCCCUUCAUCUGUACACUGGAUUCCAUCCUUUCUUGCCAAAUUAAGCAUGCUGCUCUUGAAAUUAUCCCAUCACUCUCUGCAUCAUCAAUAUUUUCUUCUCUAGUGGAUCAGUCUCAUCAAUAAGCAAACAUGUUUUUAGCUUAUCUCAUUUUAAAAAAACUUUCCUUUGACCACACACGUCCCUCUAGAUACCACUCAUUUCUCUGCUCCCUUUUCUUUCAAAAUUCCUCAAAACGGCUGCUCACAACGCAUUGUCUGUCCACCCACAUAAUUCAGACAUUGGUUCCCACAUUCUACUGAAACCAGUCUUGUUGAGGUGGCUAAAGACCUCGCCAUGCAGCAGUCAGUUCUCAGUCCCCAUCUAACUUCCCUUCUUGGCAACACCUGAAACAAGUGGUUACUCACUUCCUCCUUCCUGAAACACUGCACACGGCUUAUGGGAAAUCCCACCUUCUUAGACCUUCCUUUUACCUCACUGGUUGUUCCUUCUCAGUCUCUUUUGCUGCUUCCUCCACCUCUUCCUCAUAUGUAAGUGUUGGCAGCCCCUAGACUCAGUCCUGGAAGUUCCUUUCUCUUCUCUCUACUCAUGUAUCAGUGUCUGUCACCACCAUCCACCUGGUUGCUCAGUUGGGAAACUUUUAAGUCACAUUUUAGCCCACUCUUUACCUUACAUUCUAUUUCACAACCAUUGACAAGUCCUGCCUGCAAAAUAGAUCCCAAAUCUGA
rnacentral:lncRNA from 1 species